GACGAACGCUGGCGGCGUGCCUAAUACAUGCAAGUCGAGCGGACCAAAGGGAGCUUGCUCCUGGAGGUCAGCGGCGAACGGGUGAGUAACACGUGGGCAACCUGCCUGUAAGACUGGGAUAACAUCGAGAAAUCGGUGCUAAUACCGGAUAAUAAAAAGAACUGCAUGGUUCUUUUUUGAAAGAUGGUUUCGGCUAUCACUUACAGAUGGGCCCGCGGCGCAUUAGCUAGUUGGUGAGGUAACGGCUCACCAAGGCAACGAUGCGUAGCCGACCUGAGAGGGUGAUCGGCCACACUGGGACUGAGACACGGCCCAGACUCCUACGGGAGGCAGCAGUAGGGAAUCUUCCGCAAUGGACGAAAGUCUGACGGAGCAACGCCGCGUGAGCGAUGAAGGUUUUCGGAUCGUAAAACUCUGUUGUUAGGGAAGAACAAGUGCCGUUCGAAAGGGCGGCACCUUGACGGUACCUAACGAGAAAGCCACGGCUAACUACGUGCCAGCAGCCGCGGUAAAG
rnacentral:rRNA from 1 species